GUGUUAUCAUGGUAACACAUAUACUAAAAUUGGGUUACGAUACAGAGAAGAUUAGCAUGGCCCCUGGUGCAAGGAUGACACGCAAAUUCGUGAAGUGAUCCAAAUUUUA